rnacentral:rRNA from 1 species
AUUGAACGCUGGCGGCAGGCCUAACACAUGCAAGUCGAACGAGUGGCGGACGGGUGAGUUAUGUCUGGGAAACUGCCUGAUGGAGGGGGAUAACUACUGGAAACGGUAGCUAAUACCGCAUACCAUCAAAUGUGCCCAGAUGUGAUUAGCUUGUUGGUGGGGUAACGGCUCACCAAGUCGCCGAUCUCUAGCUGGUCUGAGAGGAUGACCAGACACACGGGUACUGAGACACGGUCCAGACUCCUACGGGAGGCAGCAGUGGGGAAUAUUGCACAAUGGGCGCAAGCCUGAUGCAGCCAAGCGGCGUGUAUGAAGAAGGCCUUCGGGUUGUAAAGUACGUUCAGCGGGGAGGCGUUACCCGCAGAAGAAGCACCGGCUAACUCCGUGCCAGCAGCCGCGGUAAUAC